CUAAUUUAAUAGAGCGUCGCAAUGACUCUCGGCAACGGAUAUCUCGGCUCUCGCAUCGAUGAAGAAYGUAGCGAAAUGCGAUACUUGGUGUGAAUUGCAGAAUCCCGUGAACCAUCGAGUCUUUGAACGCAAGUUGCGCCCGAAGCCUUUCGGCCGA
rnacentral:rRNA from 1 species